GACGAACCGUGCGAACGUUGUUCGGAUUCACUGGGCUUAAAGGGCGCGUAGGCGGCUUGCCAAGUCAGGGGUGAAAUCUUUCGGCUCAACCGGAAAACAGCCCCUGAUACUGGCGAGCUGGAGGGAGGUAGGGGCGGAUGGAACUUCCGGUGGAGCGGUGAAAUGCGUAGAUAUCGGAAGGAACGCCGGUGGCGAAAGCGAUCCGCUGGACCUCUUCUGACGCUGAGGCGCGAAAGCCAGGGGAGCAAACGGG
rnacentral:rRNA from 1 species